UUUGUAAACAACAGCUGUGCAGUGACUGCUGUCCACUGCAGCUGCUCAGGUCAAAACUAAAUUGAAAGUUAGUUAAUGUAAACUCUUAGACGCCUUCCUGUUUCUGUCUCUGAAGCAGGCCCACUGCAGCUCCUUCCUUUCUUUACUGUCGCCUAUCAGCUGCGACUUCGCACUUUGCCAAAUAUAAACCCAGUUUCUUGGCCGAGCGACAGGCUGACCUGGGGAGGAGUCCGGCACGGUCGGUUCAGCUCAGGACAAACUGAAGGACAAACAAGCAGAAAGGAGCGUUUGUAGUGAAACCUCGAGAGAACAAACCGCCUGAAACGAUGUCGCUGUCUCCGGUUGCCUUGGCAGCUCGGCGAGCGCUCGCUGCUGCGUCACACUCGAGUCACGAGGGAG